GACGAACGCUGGCGGCGUGCUUAACACAUGCAAGUCGAACGGAAAGGCCCUGCUUUUGUGGGGUGCUCGAGUGGCGAACGGGUGAGUAACACGUGAGUAACCUGCCCUUGACUUUGGGAUAACUUCAGGAAACUGGGGCUAAUACCGGAUAGGAGCUCCUGCUGCAUGGUGGGGGUUGGAAAGUUUCGGCGGUUGGGGAUGGACUCGCGGCUUAUCAGCUUGUUGGUGGGGUAGUGGCUUACCAAGGCUUUGACGGGUAGCCGGCCUGAGAGGGUGACCGGCCACAUGGGGACUGAGAUACGGCCCAGACUCCUACGGGGGGCAGCAGUGGGGAAUAUUGCACAAUGGGCGGAAGCCUGAUGCAGCAACGCCGCGUGCGGGAUGACGGCCUUCGGGUUGUAAACCGCUUUCGCCUGUGACGAAGCGUGAGUGACGGUAAUGGGUAAAGAAGCACCGGCUAACUACGUG
rnacentral:rRNA from 1 species